CACAUCUCACUCUCUCUCUCUAAAUUCUUGCACCAAGAUUGUUGUUUCAAAUAAGAUUUGUGUAGGAAUCAUUGUUAGCAUCAUCAUCAUCUUCAUCACAUAUCAAAAAAUUGGGUAUUUUCAAGUGCAAGAACUUCCAUUUUAGCUCCAAAUAUCGGAUUUGAGGUUCUGGGUAAAAUUGGAACACGUUAAUACACAAUGCCAAAAGAUUGACUGAAGUAAAAAAUGAUACUAAGUCUUGAAAUUCUUGGUACCGAUUAUCAGGAUGCACAGUCUGAAUUCGGUAGGAUCUUUCCAGGUUUAGUGGUAGAGGUUUACAAUGCAGUUAAAGAUAUAGUACCAGCAGGAGAUCUUGGAAGUUUGACAUCUUAUUACGUAUGAUUUGAAAAUGUUUUGAUGCAAUCGGGCCGGCUAUGGGACGAGCAGUGCUUGCUUGUGGAAGAUGUAGACCAUUAUUGUAUUUGAGUUUUAGUUUAUUAUCAAGACUAUAUGCUAUGUUUAUCUAUAUUCGAGUUGAUGAGGAUCUUUGACGUUUUGUCAAUGGAUUAAUCUUUAGUUUU